rnacentral:rRNA from 1 species
CGAACCUGCGAAGGCAAGCGGAUCUCUUAAAGCCGUUCUCAGUUCGGACUGUAGGCUGCAACUCGCCUACACGAAGCUGGAAUCGCUAGUAAUCGCGGAUCAGCACGCCGCGGUGAAUACGUUCCCGGGCCUUGUACACACCGCCCGUCACACCAUGAGAGUCUGUAACACCCAAAGCCGGUGGGAUAACCUUUAUAGGAGUCAGCCGUCUAAGGUAGGACAGAUGAUUAGGGUGAAGUCGUAACAAGGUAUC